AAGCGUUACAGCUUUUUUAGAAUUUGGCUAGCAGGUUUUUUGACUUCUGUCGAGACUCUCCCCA
rnacentral:snRNA from 1 species